UUUAUCAAAACAUCGCUCUUUGUUAUUAUAGUAUAGAGAGUCGUACCUGCCCAGUGAAGUUUAAACGGCCGCAGUACCCUGACUGUGCUAAGGUAGCAUAAUCAUUUGCCUUUUAAUUGGAGGCUAGUAUGAAUGGUUUGACGUGAAUUUAGCUGUCUCUUUUAUAUUAAAUAGAAAUUAAUUUUUAGGUGCAGAAGCCUAAAUGUUUUUAAAAGACGAAAAGACCCUGUCGAGCUUGAAAUAGAAAUAAAAUUUUGAUUACUUUAGAUAAGUUGUUUUUUAUUAUAAAUUUUGUUGGGGUGACAGAAGAACAUAAAUAGCUUCUUUUUAUUAAUAUAAUUAAUGUAUUGUUUGAGCCAUUAUGUAAUGAUCAUAAGAUUAGUUACCGCAGGGAUAACAGCGUAAUUUUUUUGGAAAGUCCUAAUUGAAGAAAAAGUUUGCGACCUCGAUGUUGGAUUAGAAUACCUGCUAGGUGGAGAUGCUUAGUAAGGAGGUCUGUUCGCCCUUUAAUUUUCUACAUGAUCUGAGU
rnacentral:rRNA from 1 species